rnacentral:misc_RNA from 1 species
AUCUCGAGUCCCGGUUUCCGUUCCACGAUGUUAACGAGCUUCCCCCACCCCCAGAAUUCAAAGACGUCAAGAAGAAGUAUUCCAGCCAGGAAUUUGAAAGGCACAGAAGAAGAGGUGCCCCCAAUCCCAACAACUGAACUGGAUCCUAACCGAGAAAAGACAUUCAUUCUCUUCACCCAUGUUGACAGGAAAAACAGUUACACUGCAAAACAUGUGAUCAGUGUUAAAACGAAAGUGAAAAUCACAGCCAUUAGUAUGUCAAUUUUAUACGGAGUUUAGCAUUGUGUAAAAACAGUUGUAAACAUGUGACGUGGUUUUAUGUUUUAUUUUAUGUUAAGAAUGGCUCAAAAGGUAUGUGCUUCUCAAAUUAUUAUGUUGUAGAAUUACGCUAUGCUUGACAUUACAAGUUUACUACGUACGAGCUGUGAGUAUCAGUGCGUUACUAAACUAAACAAUGCUGAUUUGAAUGUAAUUUGGUAUUUUUCCCUUUUAUGACAAUAUUUAAUAAAAUUAAAAACUAUAUCCAGAAGGUCAAAUACCUCAGUUUUACUUGGUAUUGUUACGUGAAAAAACAAUGAAUUUUACCCUAAUUCAUUUUGGUUGUAAAAUACGAUGACAGAAUCUUCACUACAUGGCAAAUAUUAGAAAUGAUUGAGUUUAAAUAUGAAGAAUUUAGACUUCAGCAGGGAUUAAAUCACUUACAUUAUCAAAUAUUGUUUUUGUAAAGUCAUAACUAAUGCUAUGUAGUAAAAUUUCAAAGUUCAGGGAAAAAACCUUUAUUUGAUCAUAAUUGACACAAAAUUUGAAUUUGAUAGAAGUAUUAGUUAUUGUACAUGUAUAUAUAUAAACAAAUUACUGGUAUGAUAACCACACACACGCGCGCGCAUAUACACAAGAAUGAAUAAAAUCACAUUUUCACAACAAAUUAUUCUUAGGCAAUUUUCACUUGCUACUUCCCUGAGGCCGAAUUCUGUCGAAGUCGACAAUAUUCCUGAAGCCUGUAAAUACAAAAAUAUGCUCUAUAUUCCUUGAGUCAAGACACACAUCGUUUUCAAUAAUGUUACCUUUUAGUCUUUUGAAAAUAAAGCCCAAUGCUUCCCCUGUUUUGGGGAUUUGAUUCCU